rnacentral:other from 1 species
UUAGGAUUUCAACCCCCUGUUUUAUAUGCUGGCUUUCCCCUGAGCACGCAUACCCCAGAAUUGCUGUGUGUAGUCUUUGCCUGUCUCCUAUGAUGGGCUUUUUUUUUA